rnacentral:RNase_P_RNA from 1 species
AAAGUAAACAAGGUAAUCGCCGGUGGUGUACCGCAAGGUCCCACGGGAGGAAAGUCCGAGCUCCAUAGGGCAGGGUGCCGGUUAACGACCGGUGGGGGUGACCCUAAGGAUAGUGCCACAGAAAUGUAGACCGCCGAUGGAGGUUUUUUACCUCACAGGUAAGGAUGCAACGGUGCGGUAAGAGCGCACCAGCAGCAUGGAGACAUGCUGGCUAGGUAAACCCCACCCGGAGCAAGACCUGAUAGGAGAUCUGCACAUCCGUGCAGCUGUUGCCCGCAGCGAUCUCGGGUAGGUCGCUUGAACCAUAUAGCAAUGUAUGGUCUAGACAGAUGAUUACUACUCCAUUGGUGGGAGACGUACAAGCCGUCGUGAUGACCACUAGGAGAACAGAACUCGGCUUAUUGUUUGCUUUCCAU